AUUUCUAAAUCGCCGAAACCAUAGAGUGCGGGGGAACCAUCUGGGUUGAAAAAUCCAAGGGGUGAAUCCUUUUGUAAAGGUAGGGCUACUCAUGGCCCGAAUCCGACAGCUAACCUCGUAAGCGUUAUAGAGAAGGAAG
rnacentral:sRNA from 2 species